rnacentral:misc_RNA from 1 species
GAAAUGCGAUACUUGGUGUGAAUUGCAGAAUCUCGCGAACCAUCGAGUCUUUGAACGCAAGUUGCGCCCGAAGCCAUUUGGUUGAGGGCACAUCUGCCUGGGCGUCUCACGUAGCGUCGCCCGCGCCCCUCCCCCCCCACGAAUGGAGGAAGAAGGGCUGCGGGCGGAUGUUGGCCUCCCGCGCGUGCCUGCGUGCGGUCGGCCCAAAAGCGAGUCCCCCGCGACAGACGACGCGUCGCGAUGAGUGGUGGUUGACAAACCGUUUAGUUGCCUCGCGCGCGUCCGGACCAUCACGUUAGGCCUGUCGUGACCCUAUCGCGCCGCCGCCAAGGCGCUCCGAUCACGACCACAGGUCAGGCGGGAUUACCUGCUGAGUUUAA